rnacentral:rRNA from 1 species
GAUGAACGCUGGCGGCGUGCCUAAUACAUGCAAGUCGAGCGAACAGACGAGGAGCUUGCUCCUCUGACGUUAGCGGCGGACGGGUGAGUAACACGUGGAUAACCUACCUAUAAGACUGGGAUAACUUCGGGAAACCGGAGCUAAUACCGGAUAAUAUAUUGAACCGCAUGGUUCAAUAGUGAAAGACGGUCUUGCUGUCACUUAUAGAUGGAUCCGCGCUGCAUUAGCUAGUUGGUAAGGUAACGGCUUACCAAGGCGACGAUGCGUAGCCGACCUGAGGGGGUGAUCGGCCACACUGGAACUGAGACACGGUCCAGACUCCUACGGGAGGCAGCAGUAGGGAAUCUUCCGCAAUGGGCGAAAGCCUGACGGAGCAACGCCGCGUGAGUGAUGAAGGUCUUCGGAUCGUAAAACUCUGUUAUUAGGGAAGAACAAAUGUGUAAGUAACUAUGCACGUCUUGACGGUACCUAAUCAGAAAGCCACGGCUAACUACGUG